CGCAGCCGCGGUAAUUCCAGCUCCAAUAGCGUAUAUUAAAGUUGUUGCAGUUAAAAAGCUCGUAGUUGAAUUUCGGGAUCAAUUCGUCGGUCGUGCUUUUUGGUACGUACUGGUGUUAUUGGUUUCUCCCUUCUGACAAGCCAUGAUGUCAUUAAUUUGGUGUUAUGGGGAGUUAGGACUGUUACUUUGAAAAAAUUAGAGUGUUUAAAGCAGGCAUUAGCUUGAAUACAUUAGCAUGGAAUAAUGAAAUAGGACGUUCGAACCUAUUUUGUUGGUUUCUAGGAUCAACGUAAUGAUUAAUAGGGAUAGUUGGGGGCAUUAGUAUUCAAUUGUCAGAGGUGAAAUUCUUGGAUUUAUUGAAGACUAACUACUGCGAAAGCAUUUGCCAAGGAUGUUUUCAUUAAUCAAGAACGAAAGUUAGGGGAUCGAAGACGAUCAGAUACCGUCGUAGUCUUAACCAUGAACUAUGCCGACUAGGGAUCGGAUGAUGUUAAUUUUAAUGACUCAUUUGCGCCUUAGG
rnacentral:rRNA from 1 species